CUGGAUGAUGCUUCUCCUCGGACUACUUGCUUAUGGCUCAGGGGUGGAUUCUGAGACUGUGGUGACCCAGGAGCCAUCGUACUUAGUGUCCCCUGGAGGGACAGUCACACUCACCUGUGGCCUGAGCUCUGGCUCAGUCUCUACCAGUCACUACCCGAGCUGGUACCAGCAGACCCCAGGCCAGGCUCCACAAAUGCUCAUCUACAGCACAAACACUCGCCCUUCUGGGGUCCCUGAUCGCUUCUCUGGCUCCAUCCUUGGGAACAAAGCUGCCCUCACCAUCAAGGGGGCUCAGGCAGAUGAUGAAACUGAUUAUUACUGUAUGCUGUAUAUGGGUAGUGGCAUUUCCACAGUUAUUUAA